rnacentral:rRNA from 1 species
GUGCCAGCAGCCGCGGUAAGACGAACCGUGCGAACGUUGUUCGGAUUCACUGGGCUUAAAGGGCGCGUAGGCGGGCCAGCAUGUCCGGGGUGAAAUCUUUCGGCUUAACCGGAAAAGGGCUUCGGAAACGGCUGGUCUUGAGGGAGGUAGGGGCAGGUGGAACUUCCGGUGGAGCGGUGAAAUGCGUUGAGAUCGGAAGGAACGCCGGUGGCGAAAGCGACCUGCUGGACCUCUUCUGACGCUGAGGCGCGAAAGCCAGGGGAGCAAACGGGAUUAGAUACCCCGGUAGUCC